rnacentral:rRNA from 1 species
GUAGUCUCGCACAGAUGCAUAUCAAUAAGCGGAGGAAAAGAAACUAACAAGGAUUCCCUUAGUAACGGACGAGUGAAGCGGGAAGAGCUCAAAUUUGAAAUCUUCAAGGUUUUACCUUGACGAAUUGUAGUUUAAAGAAGUGUUUUCUGUUGAAGUUUUGGUAAAAGUUCUUUGGAAUAGGACAUCAUAGAGGGUGAGAAUCCCGUAUUUGACCAUUAUUUUCAGCUGUGUGAUACACUUUCAAAGAGUCGGAUUGUUUGGGAAUGCAGUCCAAAAUGGGUGGUAAAUUUCAUCUAAAGCUAAAUAUUGGCGAGAGACCGAUAGCGAACAAGUACCGUGAGGGAAAGAUGAGAAGAACUUUGAAAAGAGAGUUAAACAGUACGUGAAAUUGUCAAAAGGGAAGCGUUUGACACCAGUGUUGUUUUCUCGAAAAUCAAUUAAAAAGAGUUUGAUUUUGUUGUGUAUUGACCUUAACAGCUUGCAUUUCAAUUUUCUUGCUUUUUUUAAUGCACUUUUCGUUUAACAAGUCAACAUCAGUUUCUUUUGUUGUAAAAAGGUCAUUGGAAGGUGGCUUUCUUUUCGGAGAAAGUGUUUAUAGCCUUUGACUCCUGCAAUCGGAGAGACUGAGGUCUGCAGCGUAGAUCCUUCGGGGUUAGAUACAUUUGUGCUAAGUUAUAGCUUUUUAUAGACAACUUGUUGACUAUGAUUAGUCUUGUAGCUUACUCGCUUAUGCUAUUUUACCUACGCUUAGGAUGUUGAGCGCAUGUCUCUCUCU